rnacentral:rRNA from 1 species
AUUGAACGCUGGCGGCAUGCUUUACACAUGCAAGUCGAACGGUAACAGGGAGCUUGCUCCGCUGACGAGUGGCGAACGGGUGAGUAAUGCAUCGGAACGUGCCGUGUAGUGGGGGAUAACGUAGCGAAAGUUACGCUAAUACCGCAUACGCCCCGAGGGGGAAAGUGGGGGACCGCAAGGCCUCACGCUAUACGAGCGGCCGAUGUCGGAUUAGCUAGUUGGUAGGGUAAAGGCCUACCAAGGCGACGAUCCGUAGCGGGUCUGAGAGGAUGAUCCGCCACACUGGGACUGAGACACGGCCCAGACUCCUACGGGAGGCAGCAGUGGGGAAUUUUGGACAAUGGGCGCAAGCCUGAUCCAGCCAUGCCGCGUGAGUGAAGAAGGCCUUCGGGUUGUAAAGCUCUUUCAGACGGAAAGAAAUCGGUGUGUCUAAUACACGCACUGGAUGACGGUACCGUAAGAAGAAGCACCGGCUAACUACGUGCCAGCCGCCGCAGUAAAAC